rnacentral:rRNA from 1 species
UACGUAGGGGGCAAGCGUUGUCCGGAAUUAUUGGGCGUAAAGAGCGUGUAGGCGGCCAGAUAAGUCCGCUGUGAAAUCUCGAGGCUCAACUUCGAGCUGUCGGUGGAAACUAUCUGGCUAGAGUCCGGAAGAGGCGAGUGGAAUUCCUGGUGUAGCGGUGAAAUGCGCAGAUAUCAGGAGGAACACCAAUGGCGAAGGCAGCUCGCUGGGACGUGACUGACGCUGAGACGCGAAAGCGUGGGGAGCAAACAGG